UAGACAUCCCCUACAUCUUCAGGCAAAGGGACCAACCAGCUUAAAGUCUGAGAACUUCCCCUCAAAGUCUCACAGUUAGCCAACAGCAGUGUUGGGAUCCAAAUCUGGAUUUCUGUCUUCUGAGAGGACGGCCCUUGACUCUGGGAUGAAACCACAGCGAAGGCUCCAGGCCACACUCUCCUCUGCCACCCCUGCUUCCUGACACACCCAGGGACUUCCCCCAUGUGGCCUUGUGGGACACGGCAUGGCAGGCCUCCUUCUGUUGAAAUCAUCGGGAUGUAGCUCUCAGCUACUACUCCAGGGCCUGUCUGUGUGCUGCCAUGUUCUCCACCAUGAUGAUAAUGGACUAAACUUCUGAAAUUGUAAGAAAGGUCCAAAUUAAAUGCUUUCUGUCCUAAGAAUCGCCUUGGUCAUGGUAUCUCUUCGCAUCAAUAGAACAGUGACUAAGAUACUGAGGCACAGAAUUCUAGAGAUAAACAGCCUGGAAUAUUAUGCUCUUGUGAGGAAAAGUAAUAUCAAAUUAGGGAUCAUAAAGGGAGGAGCUGGAGAGAUGGC